ACCGGCGUCGCGAUCUCCGCAGGACCCGACGCACUUCCUCCCGCCCUUAGGACGCCGCAGCCGGUCGGGUAGCUGCGCGAGUCGGCCAUGAGGACGGACACCGGAAGGUGGCCGGUGGCGUUCUUCGUGUUCGUCGCCGGUCGUUAUCCAGUCCGCCCGUGGCGCGACACCCGACCGAGGUCGAAGGUCCCGGUUAGGACCUCGCCGUCCCCUCCCCAGUGGUCGAGCAGGAACGCCGGCAGGCGCUUCCCCGGCAGUCCGUCCCACUCUCCGAGUGGCCGGUCGUCGGGUGACGCCGUUGGCGAGGACGUUUCCUGCGUGGGGUCUGUUCAGGCGGCUAGCGGCGAGUAGGUCGGUCACCCACCCGACCCGUCUUGAAACACGGACCAAGGAGUCUAACAUGUGCGCGAGUCAUUGGGUCUUGAUUAGGCCCAGAGGCGCAAUGAAAGUGAAGGCCGUCC
rnacentral:rRNA from 1 species